GGCCUAGACCACUAAGGGCCGUGACGUGGUGCCGCUGAGCUUGGACCCCGACCAGAAGAUAGAGAUUGAAACGAUGAGGAAAACGAAGUGCCUAAUCCCCGCUGGACGCUAACUGCAGGCACCCAGAAAUACUCUCCACACCAUGCUGCACUGCUGCGGAUGAGGGAAGGAUGGUGUCGGGGCUUCAAGACUGUUUUUCCUACCUCUUCAGUGCCUCUUUCAGUGAUAUGAAGUUAAAACCAGGAACAUGGAGGAGACAUAUUUCCACCUAUUUCUCUCCAUAAGUAUAAAAGACCAUAAAAGACCAUCUAGGGACUUCAGAACCCAAAUAAUGACACAAUGGGCUAACUGCUGACUGGAGAGGGGAGAAAAUGGAACACGGAGAGACAGAAGAAAGGU
rnacentral:lncRNA from 1 species